GAAGAAAAGGGAUGCAGAUGCGAGGCGACGGAUAGUAGGGCCAUGGGCAUGGUAGCGCCAUGGUACCGCAGAGGCGGGACUUCCGUGAAAGUCAUUGAUCCCUUGCUCUCAUGGAGGGAGAGCGCUUGGUCGUGAAAGGGGCCGAGGAGGUGGAGAAUGCAGAGGCAAUCUCCAAGUACCGAGACAAGGCUGAAGGGCAGAGGCCGAAGAACUUCGUAAGACCGGUGUCAAUGUGCUUCUCAUCAAGAUAGCCGAAAGUGAAGGACUUCGGGUCAUGCAAGAGUGCAUAACCAAGGAACGAAGCAGGCAGUACGCGGUGCUGUACCUUUGCUACUCAGUGGAGUAGGCGGCAGGGUUGAUGGAGAAGACGGUACAAUCCCAGAGGUGACCAAACCUAUGAGAGAACUACUCCAAGUUGGGGUGAAAACUUCCUGCAUUCCAGAAGUUCAAUGGCAUUGAUAAGGUGAAUCACAGUAACUAACUCAACGCAAGGAGUGCAAACACUUCAAGUGCUUUAGAAGUGUGAGCAAAGAGCAGGCGAAGGCUAGUAACCAACUCGAUGCAUGAAGUACAACCUCAAGGAGGCGAGCGAAGUCAAAUAACCUUUGCCUUCUCAACUCUUAAGAAAAUGGGCGAAACCGAGUACCCCAAUUCUCUUAUCUAUCCAGCAGAGGAGCUCUGCAUAAGUUCAAAGACCCUUCGAAGAUAAUGGAAGACAAUAGUUGUCAAAUCCUCACCAAUGGUGAUCAGUGCUACUGAGAGUAGAUUGUCCGCUUCAUUUCCCAACGAAAUGUCAAUCGAAAGCGGAAGUGAUGCGAACCUACUUGGAUGUGACAACUAAGUGAAAGAAGAGUCAAUGAGCAAAUGUUGUGGAGGAAGGACCCAAAACUUCAGAAGUUUGCGAGACGAUGCUCGUUAAAGCUCCAACAAGCAUCCACCCAGUUCAAGCAGCAUGUGGAAUUUGAGAGACUAGCGCAGUAAGGAUGGUCUUUUCCUUCAUCUGGGGGAUCCGCAAGAAUCAACAAUGAUCAACACAACUCAGCCAACCCCACACCAGAGUCAGAG
rnacentral:lncRNA from 1 species